rnacentral:rRNA from 1 species
GAUGAACGCUGGCGGCGUGCCUAACACAUGCAAGUCGAACGAAGCGAUCAAGAUGAAGUUUUCGGAUGAAUUCGAGAUUGACUGAGUGGCGGACGGGUGAGUAACGCGUGGGUAACCUGCCUCAUACAGGGGGAUAACAGUUAGAAAUGACUGCUAAUACCGCAUAAGCGCACAGUAUCGCAUGAUACAGUGUGAAAAACUCCGGGGGUAUGAGAUGGACCUGCGUCUGAUUAGCUAGUUGGUGAGGUAACGGCCCACCAAGGCGACGAUCAGUAGCCGACCUGAGAGGGUGACCGGCCACAUUGGGACUGAGACACGGCCCAAACUCCUACGGGAGGCAGCAGUGGGGAAUAUUGCACAAUGGGGGAAACCCUGAUGCAGCGACGCCGCGUGAGUGAAGAAGUAUUUCGGUAUGUAAAGCUCUAUCAGCAGGGAAGAAAAUGACGGUACCUGACUAAGAAGCCCCGGCUAACUACGUGCCAGCCGCCGCAGUAAAAC